CUCCUCCAUCUGGUCCACAAGGCUCGAUAUCUCCUCUCGCCCCACGGCGUCGACGGUGCCCUCAGCGUCGAAGGUGUAAAAGACUAUUGAUAGGAUGACAAUAGGAGGACAAGAGAUGCCGCAUUACCUCCCUGGCCUCUUCUUCGGCAAGGAUCUGCAGACACUCGAGAGACCUGCAAUAACUCUCUUAUGUCUCCUCCGGCGCCCCAAACAUGUAGCUAGAACAAC